CCUACGGGUGGCAGCAGUGGGGAAUAUUGGGCAAUGGGCGCAAGCCUGACCCUGCAACGCCGCGUGAGGGAAGGAGGCUUUCGGGUUGUAAACUUCUUGUAAGAGGGAAGAGCAGAAGACGGUACCUCUUGAAUAAGCCACGGCUAACUACGUGACAGCAGCCGCGGUAAUACGUAGGUGGCAAGCGUUGUCCGGAUUUACUGGGUGUAAAGGGCGUGUAGCCGGGCUGACAAGUCAGAUGUGAAAUUCCGGGGCUCAACCCCCGACCGGCAUUUGAAACUGUUGGUCUUGAGUAUCGGAGGGGCAGGCGGAAUUCUUAGUGUAGCAGUGAAAUGCGUAGAUAUUGGGAGGAACACCAGUGGCGAAGGCGGGCUGCUGGACGACAACUGACGGUGAGGCGCGAAAGCGUGGGGAGCAAACAGGAUUAGAUACCCCGGUAGUC
rnacentral:rRNA from 1 species